UACGUAGGGGGCAAGCGUUGUCCGGAAUGAUUGGGCGUAAAGGGCGCGCAGGCGGCUUCAUUAGUCUGGUGUGAAAGGUCCCGGCUCAACCGGGGAUGUGCAUUGGAAACUGUGGAGCUUGAGUCCAGGAGAGGAGAGUGGAAUUCCACGUGUAGCGGUGAAAUGCGUAGAUAUGUGGAGGAACACCGGUGGCGAAGGCGGCUCUCUGGCCUGAGACUGACGCUGAGGCGCGAAAGCGUGGGGAGCGAACAGG
rnacentral:rRNA from 1 species